rnacentral:rRNA from 1 species
GUACGGGGGGGGCAAGCGUUGUUCGGAAUUACUGGGCGUAAAGGGUUCGUAGGUGGCUCGCUAAGUCACACGUGAAAAUCCCCUCAGCUUAACUGGGGAACUGCGUGUGAGACUGGCAAGCUCGAGUGCAGGAGAGGAAUGCGGAAUUCCAGGUGUAGCGGUGAAAUGCGUAGAUAUCUGGAGGAACACCGGUGGCGAAGGCGGCUGACUGGACACAUAUUGACGCUGAGGCUCGAAAGCAUGGGGAGCAAACAGG